AUGCAGGAGUUUCAAGAGUCCUGUAAUGGUAGGGCCGCGUCGCCUUUGGAAACCUCUAAGGUUAGAAAACCUGAGGGGACGCAGGGGUUUCUUAGGUCGCGAGGCGGCCACGUGCAGCCCUGGGUGCCGAGGCCUGGGCCCUCGGGCGAAGGUUCGUGGCACGUACCAACUCCCGCGAAGGCCGUGAAUUCCGCCGCCGGCCUGGUAACCCUGCGGCCCGGUACUACCCCCGUUCGGAUAGAGAAGGAGGCUGAGCUGAUCCGAUGGAUGGUAGAAAACGUGACAAGGUACGUGCGCCCUUUUUAUUUCUAUUUAUUUUAAAGAUUUUAUUCAUUUGCUUACGACGCAGACCGGGAGAAGCAGGCUCCACGCAGGGAGCCCGACAUGGGACUCGAUCCCGGGUCCCCAGGAUCAGGCCCUGGGCCGAAGGCGGCGCUAAAUCGCUGAGCCACCUGCGCUGCCCCGUGAGUCCUUUUUAAAUUAAUGUUUCGUUGUUAGCCUGAAACCCUUAGUGGUAAGGAAUUGGAAGGCCAGGUUGGCCCAUUUCGCUGUGACUUUAAUUUGAAAGCGUAAAUUGCCAGCAAAAGAAAGUAACCAGUGGUUGCUAACACUCAACCCUGUGAUGUAAGUGCACGGAGUUUCAUAAAGCUGGUUUUGUCUUGCAGAUAAUCCAGGAGUUCAAG
rnacentral:lncRNA from 1 species